UGGCGGACGGGUGAGGAAUACAUCGGAAUCUACUUUUUCGUGGGGGAUAACGUAGGGAAACUUACGCUAAUACCGCAUACGACCUACGGGUGAAAGCAGGGGAUCUUCGGACCUUGCGCGAUUGAAUGAGCCGAUGUCGGAUUAGCUAGUUGGCGGGGUAAAGGCCCACCAAGGCGACGAUCCGCAGCUGGUCUGAGAGGAUGAUCAGCCACACUGGAACUGAGACACGGUCCAGACUCCUACGGGAGGCAGCAGCA
rnacentral:rRNA from 1 species